GGAGAGGUCGCAUAGUUGGUCUAGUGCGCUUGCUUGGAAAGCAAGUAUACCGAAAGGUAUCGCAGGUUCGAAUCCUGUCCUCUCCGCCA
rnacentral:tRNA from 1 species